GGAAGUUUUGCGCACCUGCGCUGCGAUUUCUUCUUCCUCUCUCAGCAGAUCUUUAUACGACCGCCUCUUCUCCCUCUGACUGCGACCCGCAACAAGACCAAUGUCUCCUUCCAUCCCCGACAUAUCUGCCAUCAUCACUCCUGGAUCUUCGGGUGAGAACGGUUACUCUGGAAAUUCUAGUGUAAAGGGAAAGAUUCGGGCCACGGAUAAAUAUUUCCCAUUUGCUUUCUUUCCCGUCCUUCGUUUUCCUCCACGGACAAUGGCAAUCUCAUCCAGUCUUCCCUCCACUAGGCCAUCCAGAGAUUU